GGGAGAGGACACUUAUGCUUUUUUUUCUUUCUUUAAAUUUGUGAUUGAUUUAUUUCUCUUUGUAGAGAUCUGCUUUACUUACACAUCGAGCAGAUAUGGAGCAACAUUAUCAAUCGUUUGGAGUCGUGUUUCUGGCCACCUUGAGAAUAUCCUUGGGAAAGUACGAGUCACAGGCAACAGAAGACCCCACUCAGGUUUUAAUCAGUGGGUCAGUUUGUUUGCAGAGGAUGAGACCCCUGCGGACACUUCAGAUCCUGGUAUAAAUAUCCUGAACAUAGGAUCAGAAAUAAGAUUGUCUUUGUAGUCCUCUGCGCCCUCUGUUUCUUAAGGAGGACCAUCCCACCUUUUCAAAUGAGAUGUAACAGUAUGAUGUAAUGGAGGGAGAAGCAUGCAUAUGUACAG